GUUUGAUCCUGGCUCAGAGCGAACGCUGGCGGCAGGCUUAACACAUGCAAGUCGAGCGCCCGUAGCAAUACGGGAGCGGCAGACGGGUGAGUAACGCGUGGGAACGUACCCUUUGGUUCGGAACAACACAGGGAAACUUGUGCUAAUACCGGAUAAGCCCUUACGGGGAAAGAUUUAUCGGUAUUGGAUGAGCCCGCGUUGGAUUAGCUAGUUGGUGAGGUAAUGGCCCACCAAGGCGACGAUCCAUAGCUGGUCUGAGAGGAUGAUCAGCCACACUGGGACUGAGACACGGCCCAGACUCCUACGGGAGGCAGCAGUGGGGAAUAUUGGACAAUGGGCGAAAGCCUGAUCCAGCCAUGCCGCGUGAGUGAUGAAGGCCUUAGGGUUGUAAAGUCCUUUCAGCGGGGAAGAUAAUGACGGUACCCGCAGAAGAAGCCCCGGCUAACUUCGUGCCAGCAGCCGCGGUAAU
rnacentral:rRNA from 1 species